AUGACUCUCGGCAACGGAUAUCUCGGCUCUCGCAUCGAUGAAGAACGUAACGAAAUGCGAUACUUGGUGUGAAUUGCAGAAUCCCGUGAACCAUCGAGUCUUUGAACGCAAGUUGCGCCCGAAACCAUUAGGUUGAGGGCACGCCUGCCUGGGUGUCACGC
rnacentral:rRNA from 1 species